rnacentral:rRNA from 1 species
GAACCUGCGGAAGGAUCAUUACUGAGAGGGGUUUUCGGACCCCGGGGGCUUCGGCCCUCAUCUCUUCACCCUAUGUUUACGUACCUUCGUUGCUUUGGCGGGUCUUGGGGCUCGCCCCCUACCGGCUACUGGCCUAGUGCCCCGGCCGGUCCGUGCCCGCCUGAGGCCCAUCAAAUUCUGUUCAUCAGUGACGUCCGAGCAAAAACACAAUAGUAAAAACUUUCAACAACGGAUCUCUUGGUUCUGGCAUCGAUGAAGAACGCAGCGAAAUGCGAUAAGUAAUGUGAAUUGCAGAAUUCAGUGAAUCAUCGAAUCUUUGAACGCACAUUGCGCCCCUCGGUAUUCCGGGGGGCAUGCCUGUUCGAGCGUCAUUGCACCCCUCAAGCUUAGCUUGGUAUUGGGUCUUCGCCCCCGUGGCGGGCCCGAAAGUCAGUGGCGGUUCGGCGCGACUUCGAGCGUAGUAAAUCUUCUCCCGCUUUGGAAGCUCGCGCUGCGGCCGGCCAUGAACGCCCAAAUCUUUCAAUGAUUGACCUCGGAUCAGGUAGGGAUACCCGCUGAACUUAA